rnacentral:rRNA from 1 species
ACCUUUACAAUGCUCGAAAGUGUGAUAGGGGGAUACUCAGUGCUUACGACUCUGUUGUAGGCUUUUGUCGACCGUAAAUAGAUCGGCGAAUAAGUGGUGGGUAAGACCGGUGCCAGCCGCCGCGGUAACCCCGGCGCCACAAGUGGUCAUCACGAUUAUUGGGCCUAAAGCGUUCGUAGCCGGUUUGGUAAAUCUCUUGUGAAAUUGUUCGGCUUAACCGGACAGCGUGCAGGAGACACUGCCAAGCUCGAGACCGGGAGGCGUUAGAAGUAUGGCAUGGGGACUGGUAAAAUGGGAUAAUCCAUGCUAGACUACCGAUGGCGAAGGCAUCUAACGAGAACGGAUCUGACGGUGAGGAACGAAAGCCAGGGGAGCGAACCGGAUUAGAUACCCGAGUAGUCCUGGCCGUAAACGCUGUGAGCUAGGUGCUGCGUAUCUCAUGAAGAUGCGCGGUGUCGAAACGAAGGUGCUAAGCUCACCGCCUGGGAAGUACGGUCGCAAGACUGAAACUUUA